CCAAAACUUCUUCCCUUCUCUCUCUAGAUUCAUUCCUCACUAAGCCACCUACUCAACAAUCAGGGAGCACGUAAAGGUUCCUGGCGUUGAGAGUUCCAAUUCCACCGAUCAAAUUCGGUUUUCUUCCACUGGUGCUUUUAGAAUUUCCCUAAGGGCAGAACACUGUUCAUCAUCCUGGGAGCUAAGCUGUUUGAUUAGAGAGGCAGAUGAUGUACCUUUGGAGCAAGCCCUGGAGAGUGAAGAUACAGCCCCUAGUUCUUAGAAUUACUAUUAGUUAUCUUCUUCAUUUUGAAAUACUCUAAAGUUUGUAAAGUUUUAGAUUUAUAGUUUUUUUUUUAUGACUGUAAACUUUAUAACUGUAAAUUUCAUCCAUAAAUUGUUUUGGCAUAUUAUAAUAUUAA